CUUGACGACCAUAGCAAGGUGGACCCACUCCUUCCCUUCCCGAACAGGACAGUGAAACGCCUUUGCGCCGAUGAUAGUGGAUGGACAUCUGUGAAAGUAGGUCAUCGUCAGGCUUUUUAUUCCUUCAAACGCCCCGCAAUUUAAUCAUUGCGGGGCGUUUGUGCUUUGGGCG
rnacentral:rRNA from 1 species